rfam:Methanobrevibacter curvatus strain DSM 11111 MBCTR_contig000159, whole genome shotgun sequence.
GUAAGCCGAAGACAGCUACUGGUUUUUUAAAACUAAGGAAACUCCGUCCACCAUAUAAAAAGCAUAGUAUCAAAGAUACCUGCUGAGAAGUAGGACUCUGGAGCAGAAACGACAUGUCUUUUAAUGAAUGACCAUGAUGCAAUAGCUGAAGACAUUAAAAGGAGCGGUGAAACGGCCAUUCUAUGUGGUGCAAGAAAAAGUUAACCUAUUUUAGGUAAAAGUAUUUCGCAAAGAUGAAUGCUGUAAAACAGAAGGCGGGUUACUCUCGGCAUAC